GCAUAGCUCAGUUGGUUAGAGCGUGGUGCUGAUAACGGCAAGGUUGCAGGUUCGAUUCCUGGAAGGGACA